UACGGGGGGGGCAAGCGUUGUUCGGAAUUACUGGGCGUAAAGGGCUCGUAGGUGGCCAACUAAGUCAGACGUGAAAUCCCUCGGCUUAACCGGGGAACUGCGUCUGAUACUGGAUGGCUUGAGUUUGGGAGAGGGACGCGGAAUUCCAGGUGUAGCGGUGAAAUGCGUAGAUAUCUGGAGGAACACCUGUGGUGUAGACGGCUUACUGGACCAUGACUGACGCUGAGGCACGAAAGCGUGGGGAGCAAACAGG
rnacentral:rRNA from 1 species